rnacentral:lncRNA from 10 species
GAAAAACCACAUUGUUAACAAAGUGAUUGUGAUUCACAGUCACUGGAGAAUCAAAAACUGCAUAUUUUCUGAAUUCAAAUUCAUAGAAUUUUGUUUUUCCCCCAGAGAUUCAUGGAAGAUCCUCUGUAUCUCUGGAAUGAAGAUACUGGCUCCUAAUAAACAUCUUGUUUCUCCAAAUGCCGUCUCACUCUCUGCUUCUAGAGAACCCAACUGGCAACAACCUCCAACACUCCUAACUCACAGAGAUUUCAAAAAUGGCACUUGGAGAGGUGGAAAGCAGAAUAUAUGUGAGCAACACUCGGACAGCUACAAGAUACAUGGAGCUUCAAUGGUAGAUCAGUCUCUACCAUUGAAGCAAUGCUAAAAACAGUAAUGAGUUCUCAUUAUAUUGUGUAUUUUCAAUAUCUGGUGAUA